CACCAGAACAGCAACAGUAACAAUUUAAAAGUGUGAACAUACGUUAAAGUUUUCUUCAACUGAGUGAAAAAGUGGUCGGAGUUCAAGCAAGUUCAUCGAGAAGGCUUCGCACGUGGUCGAGGGUCUUCGCCAUUUUCAGAGUUCUCCAAGCAGCCAUUACCAGCGAGACGGUGCAGCUCUUCACAAGAUCGGGCCUUGUGUCGGAGGGUGUCGUCUUCAUCGCCACAAAAGAUCUGACGGUAUAAAAUGAAGAAGAAAAGCCCCUCUCUCUACGGUAUGUCACUGGUCUGCGGCUGUUUCAUCGUGAUCUCACCGGGAUGAUGGAGAUCAACACUUUGGUGGACCCAGUCCCAGAUGAUUUUGCGAAUAAUUUACGAAUGCUACGCGACAAUCAUAACGGAAUCAUAAGAAUUUACUGUGAAUUGUUUCAUCCAUACGGAUGGGGUGGGAUGACACCUAUCCAGAAAAAUUGGGCAACAUCCAAGUCUCUUCACGCUAACCAACGCUGACGUUUUGGUCUCUAAAACGAUCACAUAUCUCAACAACUCUACUCCCACACGCAUAAACAGCAAUAUCUAUUUUAUGCGUGCGCACGCAUUUACCUUUUUUUUUUUUUACGACAAGGGGAGGAUGCGUUUAUUUUUCUUUAUUUUCGAUGUCUGUGUAUAUCGUUUGUGAUGGGCAGGCAUAUCCCAAUAUUCUAAUCAAAGACGAACCCAAGCUAUUGCUCAGUUUUUUCGUUGAAGGCCAACUAUUAUUUGGAAAGCUGAAUUUCUUCCAUCUUGUGUGCAGUCUAUGCAAGGAAGAAACCUAGACAUAGAAGUGGCAAGAAAGAUAGAUGCACAGAGAAAGCUCCCACGGUGUUUUCCCCUUUUUUUAUUAUUAUUAUUUUCCGUGCUAUUGUUGUUAUUCUUCCUGCCGAUUAUGUCAAAAAAGCUUAAUUGGGCUAUAAGUUUGUUGUUGUCGAAACAAACUACAAAAACGAGUUUCCGAGUUUAAAAAAUUGCUGUAUGUAAUAAAGUAUAGUACGGGAGAAAGCCACACAGCCGAGUCUAUUCUAAUGGAAAACGACAAG